rnacentral:ncRNA from 2 species
GCGGCUACCUCGGGGUGUCCUGGCCGAUGUGCGCAGGACUGAGAUGCGUGAUGCGAACCCGUUGAACCUGAUCCGGUUAAUACCGGCGGAGGGAUGGUCGGACAGCCGGGA